rnacentral:rRNA from 1 species
AUUGAACGCUGGCGGCAGGCCUAACACAUGCAAGUCGAGCGGAUGAGGGUAGCUUGCUAUCUGAUUCAGCGGCGGACGGGUGAGUAAUGCCUAGGAAUCUGCCUGGUAGUGGGGGACAACGUUUCGAAAGGAACGCUAAUACCGCAUACGUCCUACGGGAGAAAGUGGGGGAUCUUCGGACCUCACGCUAUCAGAUGAGCCUAGGUACGAUUAGCUAGUUGGUGAGGUAAAGGCUCACCAAGGCGACGAUCGUUAACUGGUCUGAGAGGAUGAUCAGUCACACUGGAACUGAGACACGGUCCAGACUCCUACGGGAGGCAGCAGUGGGGAAUAUUGGACAAUGGGCGAAAGCCUGAUCCAGCCAUGCCGCGUGUGUGAAGAAGGUCUUCGGAUUGUAAAGCACUUUAAGUUGGGAGGAAGGGCAGUAAGUUAAUACCUUGCUGUUUUGACGUUACCAACAGAAUAAGCACCGGCUAACUUCGUGCCAGCCGCCGCGGUAAAAC